CCUACGGGAGGCAGCAGUGGGGAAUAUUGCACAAUGGGGGAAACCCUGAUGCAGCGACGCCGCGUGAAGGAAGAAGUAUUUCGGUAUGUAAACUUCUAUCAGCAGGGAAGAAAAUGACGGUACCUGACUAAGAAGCCCCGGCUAACUACGUGCCAGCAGCCGCGGUAAAACGGAGGGGGCAAGCGUUAUCCGGAUUUACUGGGUGUAAAGGGAGCGUAGGCGGCGAUGCAAGUCAGAAGUGAAAGCCCGGGGCUCAACUUCGGGACUGCUUUUGAUACUGUGUUGCUAGAUUGCAGGAGAGGUGAGUAGAAUUCCUAGUGUAGCGGUGAAAUGCGUAGAGAUCAGGAGGAACACCAGUGGCGAAGGCGGCCUACUGGACUGUAAAUGACGCUGAGGCUCGAAAGCGUGGGGAGCAAACAGGAUUAGAUACCCCGGUAGUC
rnacentral:rRNA from 1 species